ACGAUGUCUACUAGUUGUCGGGACUUAAUUGUCUUGGUAACGCAGCUAACGCGUGAGGUAGACCGCCUGGGGAGUACGGUCGCAAGAUUAAAACUCAAAGGAAUUGACGGGGACCCGCACAAGCGGUGGAUGAUGUGGAUUAAUUCGAUGCAACGCGAAAAACCUUACCUACCCUUGACAUGUACGGAAUCCUUGAGAGAUCAGGGAGUGCUCGAAAGAGAGCCGUAACACAGGUGCUGCAUGGCUGUCGUCAGCUCGUGUCGUGAGAUGUUGGGUUAAGUCCCGCAACGAGCGCAACCCUUGUCCUUAGUUGCUACGAAAGGGCACUCUAAUGAGACUGCCGGUGACAAACCGGAGGAAGGUGGGGAUGACGUCAAGUCCUCAUGGCCCUUAUGGGUAGGGCUUCACACGUCAUACAAUGGUACAUACAGAGGGCCGCCAACCCGCGAGGGGGAGCUAAUCCCAGAAAGUGUAUCGUAGUCCGGAUUGUAGUCUGCAACUCGACUACAUGAAGUUGGAAUCGCUAGUAAUCGCGGAUCAGCAUGUCGCGGUGAAUACGUCCCGGGUCUUGUACACACCGCCCGUCACACCAUGGGAGCGGGUUUCACCAGAAGUAGUAGCCUAACCGCAAGGAAGGCGCUUACCACGGUGGGAUUC
rnacentral:rRNA from 1 species